rnacentral:rRNA from 1 species
AGUGAACGCUGGCGGUAGGCCUAACACAUGCAAGUCGAACGGCAGCACAGUAAGAGCUUGCUCUUACGGGUGGCGAGUGGCGGACGGGUGAGGAAUACAUCGGAAUCUACUUUUUCGUGGGGGAUAACGUAGGGAAACUUACGCUAAUACCGCAUUCGACCUACGGGUGAAAGCAGGGGAUCUUCGGACCUUGCGCGAUUGAAUGAGCCGAUGUCGGAUUAGCUAGUUGGCGGGGUAAAGGCCCACCAAGGCGACGAUCCGUAGCUGGUCUGAGAGGAUGAUCAGCCACACUGGAACUGAGACACGGUCCAGACUCCUACGGGAGGCAGCAGUGGGGAAUAUUGGACAAUGGGCGCAAGCCUGAUCCAGCCAUACCGCGUGGGUGAAGAAGGCCUUCGGGCUGUAAAGCCCUUUUGUUGGGAAAGAAAAGCAGCAGGUUAAUACCCCGCUGUUCUGACGGUACCCAAAGGAUAAGCACCGGCUAACUUCGUG